GCCAUGGGAGGAAGUUCUGGUUGACCGAAACACCAAGAAUUUGAACUGGUUUGAAUGGAUUGGUUGUUAGCCAAAAUCUAAGGAGGUGGAGGGGAGGAAAUUGUUGAGGAAAUGAGGGAAUUUGAGUGAUUUGAAGGUGUUGUGGUUUACCCGAAAGACUGAAGUGGUUGAAGGGAAUUUGAAUUGAGUAGUUGAAGGAGUGUUCUGAGUGAUUUGAGGAGGGUUUUCAGAAGAUUAUCAAGGAAUGGAUCAAGGGAGAAGGAGUAUAUGCCGAAAUGGGAUUCUUACUUCCCAAGUUCAAUUUUGAUGGGUAUCCUCAUUCUCUUUUUAGUUUUUGAUAUAUUAUUCUUUUUGGCUUUUU
rnacentral:lncRNA from 1 species